rnacentral:rRNA from 1 species
AUGCAUAGAUGCACACACACGCAUGCCUCCACGCUCACGAAACAUCAAGUUGCGGAGCUUAAAAAUGGUCGAAGUCACCGGAGACGCCUCGCUAUAUCAACGGAUACGUCACCCACCGGCGAAGUCAGAAAUUUACCCUGGGGCACCAGAGGAUGCUCAGCACGUAUGCAGGAGGAAAUGUUGUCAUAUACAGGAGGUACACAUGACAUACCUGAAGUGCAUUCCACCUCCCCAGCAACUCGUACUCAGCGCCAUCAAUGGCCGUACUGCCGAUACCAGCAGCACCUGCCGGAUCCGACAACCAUGUUGUCGACAUUGCCGCGGCUAUGGAGCCACCACAGAAGGUUCGUCAGUGUGUUACCGUCGUCGUGUGAUGCCAGUGCCCUGGUCUUGGCCAAUGCCGACUCCUUGUCGUAA